rnacentral:rRNA from 1 species
AACGAACGCUGGCGGCAUGCCUAACACAUGCAAGUCGAACGAGACCUUCGGGUCUAGUGGCGCACGGGUGCGUAACGCGUGGGAACCUGCCCUUAGGUUCGGAAUAACUCCCCGAAAGGGGUGCUAAUACCGGUUAAUGUCUUCGGACCAAAGAUUUAUCGCCUUUGGAUGGGCCCGCGUUGGAUUAGCUUGUUGGUAGGGUAAAAGCCUACCAAGGCGACGAUCCAUAGAUGGUUUGAGAGGAUGAUAAGCCACACUGGGACUGAGACACGGCCCAGAAUCGUACGGGAGGGAGCAGUGGGGAAUAUAGGAAAAUGGGCGAAAGCCUGAUAAAGCAAUGCCGCGUGAGUGAUGAAGGCCUUAGGGUUGUAAAGCUCUUUUACCCGGGAUGAUAAUGACAGUACCGGGAGAAUAAGCACCGGCUAACUCCGUG